GCAGAACCUAGACCCGGGCGUCAGCAUCCUGAUGUGUCACAUUGGACCCAGGCCUCGGCUGAGCGCACAGAAGACAACUCCGAGGCUCGUAGGACCGACCUAGGAUGCCCAGAGGAAAUCUGGAAAAGUUGUAAGCAAAACAUCGUUCCUCUAAGAAAAUUCUGGAUACCAGAAGUUCUGGAUAACAGGUAAAGAAUAUUUAAACUUGGGUCAUUCCGAUAAUCACCGAUAAUCUGCAAAAGUAAACUGGGAGAGAGAAGUGUGCUUUGGGUCAGGGAUUACAAUAGGGAAUUUUUUUUUUUUUUUUUUUUUUUAUGAUAGUCACACAGAGAGAGAGAGAGAGAGGCAGAAACAUAGG
rnacentral:lncRNA from 12 species